rnacentral:rRNA from 1 species
UGGGGAAUAUUGGGCAAUGGGCGCAAGCCUGACCCAGCAACGCCGCGUGAGGGAAGAAGGUCUUCGGAUUGUAAACCUCUGUCCUUGGGGAAGAAAAAAAUGACGGUACCCAAGGAGGAAGCUCCGGCUAACUACGUGCCAGCAGCCGCGGUAAUACGUAGGGAGCGAGCGUUGUCCGGAAUUACUGGGCGUAAAGGGUGCGUAGGCGGCUUGGCAAGUCAGAUGCGAAAUCCCCGGGCUUAACUCGGGGGGUGCAUUUGAAACUGCCAGGCUUGAGUGCAGGAGAGGAAAGCGGAAUUCCUAGUGUAGCGGUGAAAUGCGUAGAUAUUAGGAAGAACACCAGUGGCGAAGGCGGCUUUCUGGACUGUAACUGACGCUGAGGCACGAAAGCGUGGGGAGCAAACA